CAAAGGUUGGCUUCUCAAUCUGUGUAACAUUCCUGACCACCUUGCACUGGGGACCAAGUAAGAGUCGCCAAACCACUAAUCUGCCACAUUCUCCUCUGGGAAGGGCUGAGAAGAAGUGAAGAAUCCUGCCAAGCAAGAGCAGUAUGUGCAUAAGAGAACGAGGCCCUAGCCCAACAUGCCCUUCCUCCGACAUCCAUCCAAGGCACACCUCACAGGUCACCUGCCAUGUUCAUUCUGGAGAAAACACAGCUUGGACUGACUGCUCAGGUGACAUGGAGGUAGAUCCCAGGAAGGAAGGAAGGGAGAGCAGGAAAGAAAUUGCCUGGGGGUUGAAGAGCUACCGAAGAGAAACUACCCAGCCACGAAACCACAUUUAUUGAGCUCGACCAUAAGAGAACAGGUGGUAGUGAAAUGAAAAUUGUAACUUUUCUCUUGAACUUGAAAUCAAUUUGUAGUUAUAUAUAUUUAUUGAUUAAUUCAAAGGAAUGACUGAAUGAACAAAUGUUUUCCCAUCCAUUUAUUCAUUGAUGCUAUAGCAAUGUACAAUUUUUGGUCUGGAAGAUCUGUGGAUCAUCCAGCUUAAUCUGUUUCCCUAGUUCUCUUCCCUGCCAGACACCCCUGUCCCUGCCCCUUCCAGAGAUGAGGAAACUGAAGCCCAGAGAGGUCAGGUGACUUGCGCAAGGUCCUACUAAUUAGCAGCAGCUUUGGGACUGGAACCCAGGUGUCCUGACACCAAGUUCCCUGUUGUUCUAUAUUUACAUUGUUGGAAACAUCUAUCUUGCCUGCCUUUUUUCUUUCUCUCUUUUUUUUUUUUUGAGACAGAGUCUCGCUCUGUCACCCAGGCUGGAGUGCAGUGGCGCGAUCUCGGCUCACUGCAAGCUCCGCCUUCCAGGUUCACGCCAUUCUCCUGCCUCGGCCUCCUGAGUAGCUGGGAUUAUAGGCACACACCACCGUGCCUGGCUAACUUUUGUAUUUUUAGUA
rnacentral:lncRNA from 10 species